GUGUUUACUGUACCUUAGUUGCUUCGGCGGGCCCGCCAUUCAUGGCCGCCGGGGGCUCUCAGCCCCGGGCCCGCGCCCGCCGGAGACACCACGAACUCUGUCUGAUCUAGUGAAGUCUGAGUUGAUUGUAUCGCAAUCAGUUAAAACUUUCAACAAUGGAUCUCUUGGUUCCGGCAUCGAUGAAGAACGCAGCGAAAUGCGAUAACUAGUGUGAAUUGCAGAAUUCCGUGAAUCAUCGAGUCUUUGAACGCACAUUGCGCCCCCUGGUAUUCCGGGGGGCAUGCCUGUCCGAGCGUCAUUGCUGCCCAUCAAGCACGGCUUGUGUGUUGGGUCGUCGUCCCCUCUCCGGGGGGGACGGGCCCCAAAGGCAGCGGCGGCACCGCGUCCGAUCCUCGAGCGUAUGGGGCUUUGUCACCCGCUCUGUAGGCCCGGCCGGCGCUUGCCGAACGCAAAUC
rnacentral:rRNA from 1 species